rnacentral:rRNA from 1 species
UACAGAGGUCCCAAGCGUUGUUCGGAUUCACUGGGCGUAAAGGGUGCGUAGGUGGCUUGGUAAGUUUGAUGUGAAAUCUCCGGGCUUAACCCGGAAAUGGCAUUGAAUACUAUUGAGCUGGAGGUUUGGAGGGGGGACUGGAAUUCUCGGUGUAGCAGUGAAAUGCGUAGAUAUCUGGAGGAACACCGGUGGCGAAGGCGGCAUCCUGGACCGGUAUUGACACUGAGGCGCGAAAGCCAGGGGAGCAAACGGG